rnacentral:lncRNA from 8 species
GAUGGUAAUCAAACCCAGCCUGCCACUCUCCUUUACCGGACCUAAAUCUGAGGGUCCUGAUUGUAACAGUAAAGCCCAGAGUGAACAGCAGGCUCCAGAGAUGGCAUCAGUGAAGCAGGAAGACUGCAGUCAAACACUGGGGCUGAAUGUCAACAUUAAAGAUGAAGUAAAGGAGGAAGAGAUUGAAACAUUUGUGUAUCAUGGUAAAAGCAGAGCACCGCCUGUUUUCACAGUCUGCUAGUAGGACCAUUUGUAAUAUCAGAUUUGCCUUUAAGGUCAUAAUGAAUAAGAUAUGAACAGCAGGAACCUGCUCUUAAACCAGCUAGCACAUUUGCUUCCUUGGAAGUUGUGGGAAUGUACGUUUUUGGUUUCCCAUUGGUUCUGGGAACAAAGCCAAAAGUUUCCUGACUGGUAAAAUUGAGAAUAAAAAAAUUAAACGUUCUGAGAAUGCAAGUGAACAUUCCACCUGUUCUAGAUUGCAGGGACGUUCUGAGAACGUUUUACUAUGGUUCCCAGAAUGUUUUCAUGGGAUGUUUUAUUAACCUAUAAUUUCCAUUCUCAGAAUGUUAUUUAAAGGUAAUUAAAUGACGUUCUGAGAACAUAUUUCAAUAAGACUUAACACUGCUAGCUUAGUUUGGGUUACCGGUUGUGAACUCCAAGCACAGGUAGGACACAUGGAUAUUAAUUUGCUUAGGUAUUAAUCAUGCAAACACACCUUUUUUUUGUGGCACUGCAUCAAUGCGAUUCUAACCUAUGAUCUUCUGCUCUCUAUUCCUGGAAUUAGUCCACUGCUCUGUUCAUUUUAGUCUAUUCAAACAGACUCCAUUUCAAAGUAAAUAAUCACUCAUUAAGAUCAGGUGUGUCCAAUAAGUGGGUGCGGCAAACCCACCUGAACACACUUAACAGGAUAGGAUAGAGUUUUGUUGAUGGGAGAUUCGGAAGUGUGUUGAAUGAAGUCCAGCGGUCAGAGAGACAAAAGAAGGGGAGAGCUGAAGGUUUUCCGACACGAGAAGAGGCCGGCUGGAGAGCUCAAAGAAAAGACGGAAGAAAAGAAAGUCUUACUACUCAAAGAUAAAGGAAAAAGAAAACCCAAAGGAAUGGAGAAGGAAACUGAAAAAAAGAGGCACCGAUUCACCCCUGGAGAUGAGGAUCUUAUUAUUUCAGGGGUACUUGGGCACUGGGAGGACCUCUUCGGUGCCCAGGCCCACAUUCGCCCCCGGGGGUCAAAGACGGCAACCUGGAACACCAUCGCGGGGACCUUGACCCCUACAUCAGCUGUGGCGAGAUGUGGUGAUGAUGUCCGGAAGAAGUACAAUCUCAUAAGGAGCCAAAUCAAGCAAAAGGUUUCUUCUAUCCGGACAUUGUCCACCCAGACUGGUGGGGGGCCCAACACCGUGCCGGCGCUGACCGACCUGGAGCAGCAACUGCUUUCCCGAAUGGCAGAGACCGAAGCUGGUGUAGGGCCUGCUGAUUUGGGAUUUGAAGGACCUGACUCCGCUGAACUUGAGGUUGAUGUUGAAAUGUCCGGAAAGCAACACCCGACAGUUCAAAGAUAA